AGUGCUUUAGAACAGUGCUCGGCGCCCAGGGAGCGCUCAACAAAUACCAUUAUUAUGAUGAUUAUUAUAGCAGAGCCCUGGCUGGAGGAAGGGACGCAGGAGGAGGAGGCAGAGCUUCUGCUCCAGACACGCUGACAGCGUGUGGGAGAGGUCAGACGCUCACGCUUGCACAACUACACGUAUGUACACACGUAGUCUGGACUGGGCAGCGAGGGGUGGAGAGGCAGAGGAGGAAACCCAGCUCCUGCCCUUUGGAGUCUGACAGCGUCAGGGCAGAGCAAGAAUACACAGAGCGAAGGCCGGGGUGGAGGGGGCGGCCGAUGAGCCGCGUUCUCCUCCUUCCUGUGGAUCUGGUGACCCUGGGCCAGUGGAUCCCCUGUUGUGUGUUUGGAGGCGGAGGAGCUGAACUGGCAGAAAUCUGUGAGCUGGCCAUUCUCAAAUUCAUCAAAGAGUGACAUCUGGCAGGAGCAACAGAUCGACUCCUCUGUUUUGCAUUUUGCAAGCUGCGAGUCAGAAACCCUGACGGCUUGUAAGGUGCAACACAGCAGGAUUCUCUGAAGAAUACAGCGGCCCAGGAGCGAACUCACCCCAGAAGCCACAGGGGUGCAGUCACCAGAAGACCUCCCGUGCCACUGUUCCGCUACUGCUCCUGUAUUCUGCCAGUCCUUCGUGGAAAUGGGGUUCACACAGACUUGGGAAAGGAGUACAACGGUUCUGGACCAAGCGAGGGAGAUCGCCGGUCCCGCAGAGAAGCCCUCUGGGAUCAGGGAAAUUCAGACUGACUCCCACAAAAUGCACCUGGGACUUGCUCAUGUUACCCUGUGAGCAAAAACUUGUAAACCGUUUCAUUGAAUCAAUCAGGCGUCCCGGGCUGAUGAUAAGUCAAAAGAAAAUGGAGGUGAUAUAUCAGCCUGCACUAUUUAAGCCAUUCACACAACCAAACAUUCAUUUUGGCAGGCCAGAGGUUAAAACCUCUGACAGGAUUCUGCUACACAGGCAGCACACCGAUCAACAACAGAAUGAUAGACAAGGAAAUAGAAAAUAGUCAAACAGUUGACAGGAGACUGUCAGUCAGAAUGGGUUGGCAAAAAUGAUAUCAGGCUGAAAACCAAACUGAGUGUCUACAGGGCUGAAGUGUUGUCCAACCAAUAAUAAUGUUGGUAUUUGUUAAGCGCUUACUAUGUGCCGAGCACUGUUCUAAGCGCUGGGGUAGA